rnacentral:lncRNA from 1 species
AAUAAUAGUAAAAACAGAAAAAUCCUAAAGAAAAAAAAAGCAAAAAACCUUUCAUAUCUGAAGAGAUCUAACGGAUUUAACAAGAGAUAACUAAAUUUAUAUAAAAAGAUGAACAGAGGUGGAAAAUCUGGUUUGAUCCAUAGAUUAAAAGUCAUGAAAACACGAAACUGAUAGUACUCACAAACAUAGAGUUGAAAUUUGAAUAUAGGCGGAUUAAUUGAAAAGAUGAGAAAUUUGAACUAGAUCUGGUUCGAAUUUUUUGAGAUCCCAUCAAGUAACAUGAAAAUUGAAUAACUAGUAUAGGUAGGAGGGCGGAUAAGGCGGUAAAUCACCAAAUGAUUCCAUAUCCGGUUGGGAAUCAAAGGGAUUUAGGAGGAAUUUUGAGUGACAGUGCUGUAGGGUUUAAGAACACCUGAGAGAGAAGAAAGGAUGGUAGGAUUUUGAGGCAGCUUAUUUGGGAUUAUGGGUAGGUUUGGGGGGUUGUUUGAUUAAAUAAAAAAGGAAAUGAAUCCUAGACUAUUGAUCUUCUAAGAUCAACGGCCAUGAUUUCAUCCGGGUUGAGGCAGGUAUUUAGAGAUUAGGUCAUGGGUUACAUUUAAGUGGGCUAGUGUAAAUCGGUCUAGCUUUUACUUGGGCUAGGGUAGACUAAAAUUCGAAAUUGAUUAAGAAAAGGGGAUAUUAUUUAGAUACCUAAUUAACCUAAUAAAACAAUUUUAUAAAGUGAUUUAUAACUGAAAAAAAUAUCAUUUGUGUAUGAAAAAUAAUUUAAAAUAUUUACUUAGUAUUAUAAAAAUAUAAAAGAUUAUUUUCUUGUGAAAUAAAGUAAUUAUGCACACGUGGGGCCAUUAUUGCAAAGUUAUUGCAAUUAUAACACUAACACGUACAUAUGGCUAUUCAUGAAAUAAUUAAAGCCCAGUAUAAAUAUAAAUGCUAAAAUUAAACAAUAAAACUAUUAUAAAACCUAUUUGUGAUGCAACUAGUAAU